UACGAAGGGGGCUAGCGUUGCUCGGAAUCACUGGGCGUAAAGGGUGCGUAGGCGGGUUUUUAAGUCAGGGGUGAAUCCUGGAGCUCAACUCCAGAACUGCCUUUGAUACUGAAGAUCUCGAGUCCGGGAGAGGUGAGUGGAACUGCGAGUGUAGAGGUGAAAUUCGUAGAUAUUCGCAAGAACACCAGUGGCGAAGGCGGCUCACUGGCCCGGUACUGACGCUGAGGCACGAAAGCGUGGGGAGCAAACAGG
rnacentral:rRNA from 1 species